rnacentral:lncRNA from 1 species
AUUAUAAGUCCUUAGUGAAGCUUGUAUCCUCUAUUGGUACUAGUACCUCACUCAGUUGGUGCUGUGCUUAGAGUAACAACAAGAAUUUAAAGAAGGCAUGGUUGUUGUGUGGGAAAUGAGGAAGUGUUAACAAGUGUGAGUUUUGUGAGAAUAAUGGAAGCAUGUACAGGAGAAUCUAGUGCCUUGAAUAUUGCAGAGGAUGAUGCAAGCCCAAAAAGAUUGAACCAUUUCAAAAGUAGAGAAGAAAAUAAGAUACUGAGUCUAAAGUUUGGCUCUAGCCAGAUCUAUGGGUAAGUUUCUCCUUUUUGAUCUUUAAUUUGAGAGCACAUUUAAAAGCUAAAUGGUUUUUCUCCCUUCAGGUAGUUCAGAAAGUUGAAUCUCACCAAAAAUUGUAUACUACUGUUUUAUAGGGCUAUAUUUUCUUUUUCUAACUUUCAUUCAAGCUUUUAUAAAUGACAAACAAAUCAAUGCAUUUAUAGUUUGGAAAGAGGAUAUCUUCAUAAUUGUUUAGCUCACUAUUUGUUUACUUUUUUACAUUUUCUUUCAAAUGGAUAGGUUUGUCUUGGCCAGCAAAGCUUAAGUAAAUAGUAUGAUUGAGUUUGUUUACCUAUUAACACUGUGUAGCACUGUGGUAGUGACUGCCUUCCCUGGCAUUGUUCUGAGCCUAGGUUACAGUUAAGUACUAUAUUCUGCCCUGCAUGCCUGCAAGAAAGCCAGUAUGUGAAGUUAUGCCCACAUUACCAAUAGAGGAAAUGAGAGUAUUAGGUUCAGGGUCCAGAAAGAAGUAACAUCUUCGAAAUGUUAAUGGGCAAUAACUUUGAGCCUGAAAGUUUAUCUAACUACCCUGUAAGUUAAAUAGAAGCGAACAAUGAGGGGUGGGGGAGAGGGAGAGAGAGCACACAUGCAAGCGUUCGAGCUAACUAGCUCUCUGAGCAGGUAUCCUAGCAAGAAGAGGGAUAUGUUCAGGGGAUCCAUAUGAAUAGUAAUAGGAAGUAAACAUUUAGUAGUGUGUACAUUGUCUUAACUAAACAGUAGGUUUUGGCAACUAAAUGCCUCAUCGUUCUAAAGCAGCAGUUCUUAGUCUAUAGGCCUUUACUCCUUUGGGGUUGCAUAUAAAAAAUUUAUAUUAUGCUUCAUAACAGCAAAACUACAAUUAUGAAGUAACAUUAAAAUAAUUUCAUGGUAGGAGUCACCACAACAUGAAGAACUGUAUUAAAGGGUUACAACAUUAGGAAGGUUGAGAACCACUGAUGGAGUAUAAAAACUAGGGAGUUGUUGAGUUGUGAUUUUAACUUCAGUGGAACAAAAGAGUAAAAGGUUGGUUAGAGACUAGAAAUAAUGAAACUUAGGACUGUGUCAGGGGAAAUACAUAGUGUACUUUAGAUACUGAUAGCAAAAAUAUGUAGUUACAGAAUUCAAAGUACGCUGAUUCUUUCAUAGCAGAUAUCAGGCAAAUCAAAAGGGCCCUAAUAAAGUG